UGUAAACUUACGUCCAUAAAGAUACUGCC
rnacentral:sRNA from 1 species